rnacentral:rRNA from 1 species
CCUACGGGUGGCAGCAGUGAGGAAUAUUGGUCAAUGGACGAGAGUCUGAACCAGCAAAGUAGCGUGAAGGAUGACUGCCCUAUGGGUUGUAAACUUCUUUUAUAUGGGAAUAAAAUGUUCCAUGUGUGGGAUUUUGUAUGUACCAUAUGAAUAAGGAUCGGCUAACUCCGUGCCAGCAGCCGCGGUAAUACGGAGGGUCCGAGCGUUAUCCGGAUUUAUUGGGUUUAAAGGGAGCGUAGGUGGAUUGUUAAGUCAGUUGUGAAAGUUUGCGGCUCAACCGUAAAACUGCAGUUGAAACUGGCAGUCUUGAGUACAGUAGAGGUGGGCGGAAUUCGUGGUGUAGCGGUGAAAUGCUUAGAGAUCACGAAGAACUCCGAUUGCGAAGGCAGUUCACUGGACUGCAACUGACACUGAGGCUCGAAAGUGUGGGUAUCAAACAGGAUUAGAUACCCCUGUAGUC